rnacentral:rRNA from 1 species
AUUGAACGCUGGCGGAAUGCUUUACACAUGCAAGUCGAACGGCAGCACGGGGGCAACCCUGGUGGCGAGUGGCGAACGGGUGAGUAAUACAUCGGAACGUGCCCAGUCGUGGGGGAUGACGUAGCGAAAGUUACGCUAAUACCGCAUACGAUCUACGGAUGAAAGCGGGGGCCCGUAAGGCAUCGCGCUAUUGGAGCGGCCGAUGUCAGAUUAGGUAGUUGGUGAGGUAAAGGCUCACCAAGCCGACGAUCUGUAGCUGGUCUGAGAGGACGACCAGCCACACUGGGACUGAGACACGGCCCAGACUCCUACGGGAGGCAGCAGUGGGGAAUUUUGGACAAUGGGCGCAAGCCUGAUCCAGCCAUUCCGCGUGCAGGACGAAGGCCUUCGGGUUGUAAACUGCUUUUGUACGGAACGAAAAGGCUCUGGUUAAUACCUGGGGCUCAUGACGGUACCGUAAGAAUAAGCACCGGCUAACUACGUGCCAGCCGCCGCCGUAA